UACGAAGGGGGCUAGCGUUGUUUGGAAUCACUGGGCGUAAAGGGCGCGUAGGCGGCUUUAUAAGUCGGGGGUGAAAGCCUGUGGCUCAACCACAGAAUUGCCUUCGAUACUGUAGAGCUUGAGACCGGAAGAGGUAAGUGGAACUGCGAGUGUAGAGGUGAAAUUCGUAGAUAUUCGCAAGAACACCAGUGGCGAAGGCGGCUUACUGGUCCGGUUCUGACGCUGAGGCGCGAAAGCGUGGGGAGCAAACAGG
rnacentral:rRNA from 1 species